rnacentral:lncRNA from 1 species
CCAAAAGCUGCAACAAAAUCAUGGCGUCUAUGGUGGAUUGUAGUACUUGCUUGAAAAACACAAUGAAAACCAAAGAGAAAAGCUGGGUCCACAACACCACACCGCAACCAUCCCAAUGACAGCAAGACACAUCCAAGAAAAACAAAAGUCACCAAGGACCUACAACAGAAAACACACAAACAAACAAACAAACAAACAAACAAAAGACAAGAUCCAGAUAGAUCUAGGCAAAAGGACCCAAAAUCCAGACAAAUCUGGGGAGAGAAUAGGAGAGGGGAAGAAAACUAGGAAAGGAGAAAGGGAGAUGAGGAGAGAAAGAUGGAAGAUGGGGAAGCCACCCACCCCCACAGGGG